AUGAUGCCCACAAAUCAAGAGCAGGUCUUUGAAGGUUAUACCCAAGUCUGAUUCCAGCCUGAAGUCUCUGCUUCCUGGUCUACUUUGAUGGAGGGACACUCCACCACACAUUUCCAUCACCAACUGCUCCUGACAUGCUUCUGUGCCAUGGCAGGCUCUGCAGUUUCCUGCUAAACAUCAACUGUAUCAAGAAAGAGGAAACAGCUUCAGCAAGCAGUUAAUAUCUAACCCAGUACUUUGGGCGUAUUGACUGAUGGCAUCAGCAGGUCAG
rnacentral:lncRNA from 1 species